rnacentral:rRNA from 1 species
ACUACAACGUUGAUAGGCGAGAUGUGGAAGUGCUGUGAGGCAUUAAGCUAACUCGUACUAAUUACCCGUGAGGCUUAACCAUACAACGCCAAAGUGGUUU